CCCAAGCUAGGGCCUCGUCUACAUACACCCUGAUAACAACAGAGGGUUAAAGCCCUUUGGGGGAUCUAUUAAGAGACCGUAGUUGGAUCAUGGCUGCUGGGUUACAGUGGAGAGAGAAGUUGGUGUGGAUAUAACGUGGUGUGUUAUAGUGUGUUAUAGUGUGUUAUGGUGUGUUAUAGUGUGUUAUGGUGUGUUAUGGUGUGUUAUAGUGUGUUAUGGUGUGUUAUGGUGUGUACUGGUGUGUUAUGGUGUGUUAUAGUGUGUUAUGGUGUGUACUGGUGUGUUAUAGUGUGUUAUGGUGUGUUAUAGUGUGUUAUAGUGUGUUAUGGUGUGUUAUAGUGUGUUAUGGUGUGUUAUGGUGUGUUAUAGUGUGUUAUGGUGUGUUAUGGUGUGUUAUAAUGUGUUAUGGUGUGUUAUGGUGUGUUAAUGUGUUAUAGUGUGUUAUAGUGUGUAAUGCUGUGUUAUAGUGGGUUAUAGUGUGUUAUGGUGUGUAAUAGUGUGUUAUAGUGUGUUAAUGUGUUAUAGUGUGUUAUGGUGUGUUAUAGUGUGUUAUAGUGUGUUAUGGUGUGUUAUAGUGUGUUAUGGUGUGUUAUGGUGUGUUAUAGUGUGUUAUGGUGUGUAAUGGUGUGUUAUAGUGUGUUAUGGUGUGUAAUGGUGUGUUAAUGUGUUAUAGUGUGUUAUGGCAGGUUAUGGUGUGUUAUAGUGUGUUAUGGUGUGUUAUGGUGUGUUAUGGUGUGUUAUAGUGUGUAAUGGUGUGUUAUAGUGUGUUAUGGUGUGUUAUAGUGUGUUAUGGUGUGUUAUAGUGUGUUAUGGUAUGUUAUAGUGUGUUAUGAUAUUCAGUUACGACUGUAGUGUAGAGAUACGGCUGUAGUGUAGGGAUACGGCUGUAGUGUAGAGUUACGGCUGUAGUGUGGAGUUACGGCUGUAGUGUAGAGUUACGGCUGUAGUGUGGAGUUACGGCUGUAGUGUAGGGAUACGGCUGUAGUGUAGUGUAGGGAUACGGCUGUAGUGUAGUGUAGGGAUACGGCUGUAGUGUAGAGUUACGGCUGUAGUGUAGUGUAGAGAUACGGCUGUAGUGUGGAGUUACGGCUGUAGUGUAGUGUAGAGAUACGGCUGUAGUGUGGAGUUACGGCUGUAGUGUAGUGUAGAGAUAUGGCUGUAGUGUGGAGUUACGGCUGUAGUGUAGUGUAGAGAUAUGGCUGUAGUGUGGAGUUACGGCUGUAGUGUAGAGUUAGGGCUGUAGUGUAGAGUUAGGGCUGUAGUGUAGAGUUGGGGCUGUAGUGUAGAGUUAGGGCUGUAGUGUAGAGUUAGGGCUGUAGUGUAGAGUUAGGGCUGUAGUGUAGAGUUAGG
ensembl:lncRNA